rnacentral:tRNA from 1 species
GUUCUUGUAGUUGAAGUUACAACGGUGGUUUUUCAGGCCAUAGGUCUUGGAUAGAGGCCAAGCAGGAAUU